AGCUUUGCGCAGUGGCAGUAUCGUAGCCAAUGAGGUUUAUCCGAGGCGCGAUUAUUGCUAACAGAAAAUACCUGCCUUUAAAUUUGUUUCUCCAAUCCUGAGAGGAGGCAAGUGUGGGAUAAAUUUCUAGUU
rnacentral:snRNA from 1 species